GGAGAGAUGACCGAGUGGCUGAAGGUGCACGCCUGGAAAGCGUGUGUGUCUGAAAAGGCACCGAGGGUUCGAAUCCCUCUCUCUCCGCCA
rnacentral:tRNA from 1 species